ACUCCUAAAUAAACAAAUUCUCAAUGAAGGUAAAUAGAAACCACGCACGAGCCCUCUGAAGAUAGAAACCACUCGAAUCCUCCUCACACUGUGAAAUGCUGUAAACCCUAUCUCGCUCCUCCUCAGACCUCAAUCAUCUCUUGGUUCGCCUUCAGAUUCAAAUUCUCGAGUUCAUUCUCCACUUCGAUCUGAAUUAUCACUGCUCGUUGUUGCUGCCUCUGCUUGUCGCAUUAGCUAUCGCCAUCGUUACUGUCGAUGUGCAGGCUUCUUUUGCCAUGGAUGGGACUCUGCUACUUGCUUCACUUUCCAUAGCCAAAGCACUUCUUGAGGUUGAUUUUGUUCCAAAUUUUGACAAUUCAUAGAAGGAACCAUCACUUCUUCCCUCUCGACUUCCAAUGUUAUUAUUGAAUGGUUGGCAUGGCGACUAAUAUCCCUCCUCAUAAUCUUGGGGAACUAGUAGAUGUGCUGUGCAUGUUGAUACACAAGCCAGAAGCUACUCUGCAAGAAUUGCUUGAAUACAUGCCUAGACCAGACUUUCCUAUAGGAGGACUGAUUAUGGGAAACCUUGGUGUUCAGUUAAAAGUCAACAAAAACUAUCAGCUGUCACAGUAAUAAAACUUACACAAACAGCUUUCUGUGACACCCACUUAGCAAUACAAGUGCAAGCGAGGCAGCAAAGUCUGGGAUACCAUUGGAUAUAUACCUACCAAGGCAGUCAAGUGUGCAUAAAAAUAAUUAUUUUCUACAUUUUUUCCUUUAAUAUUGAGUGUUUCUUGUU